AAAAAAAAAAGAAUAAGCGAAGUCGAAUGGCGGUCGUGACUCACUUACACUGAGAAGCGUCCUAACCUUAGACUUAGCAAGAAAAAAGAAAGAAAAAAAAAUAGAAAAAAAAUAGGAAAGGCAUAGGAAUUCUUUGGUGACCCUAAAUUGUAGUUGACUCUUUAGUAAAGAAGUGUUUAAGCUUGAUUCUGAUUAACGGCUCAUAGUGAGGACUCUGUUGAAGUUUGAUAGUCUUUGUUUUGUUUCACUAGAGAGCAUGAUAGCACACACGAUGCACUUCACACUUGUAGUGGAAGAGAACAUGGCUAAUAUGUGAAAGAGAUUAAUGCUGAGAAUGUUGCAUAUUCUGAGGAUUCCAUGUUAACACGGAUGACACUUCAUGAUUCGAGUAGACGUAGGCAUAUAGUUGCAUUCAUGCAUUGCAUUAGUAGUUUGUGUGUGUGUCUAUGCUUGAGGACAAGCAUCGGUUUAAGUUUGGGGGUGUGAUAAGUGGAUUUUGUAUCCACUUGGAAUGCCUUCGUUUCGACUUAAAUUGAUGGUUUGGCCUCAAGUAUGUGGUGUUUUUGAUGUGUUCUUGUGGUGUUGUGUAGGUUUCCUAGAAGGAGGAUGAAGGGUGGAUUCAAGGCUAAAAGGUGGAAGAAACAGCGUAGGGAUCGAGCGAGCAAGGAAGGAGAAAAGGGAAAGGAGGUUCCAAAAGCAUUCGGGGCUGCCCAAAUGGGGUCUCCACCCCAUUUACGGGGUCUCCACCUCGUUAUGAAGAAGAAAAAUCUGCCAAGAUGAGGUUUCCACCCCACUGAUGAGGUCUCCACCCCACUUCAGCAGAAUAGGGGCUGCCAUGACAGGGUCUCCACCCCACUGACGGGGUCUCCACCCCAUUCUGAUGGGAGAAA
rnacentral:lncRNA from 1 species